rnacentral:tRNA from 1 species
GUUUUUAUAGCUCAGUGGUACAGUGCCAGCCACGCAUGCAGGAGACCUUGGAUUCAACACCACCACCAGGAACA